rnacentral:rRNA from 1 species
AGGCGACGAUGUCUAGGGGUUCUGAGAGGAAGGUCCCCCACACUGGUACUGAGACACGGACCAGACUCCUACGGGAGGCAGCAGUGAGGAAUAUUGGUCAAUGGGCGAGAGCCUGAACCAGCCAAGUCGCGUGAAGGAUGACGGCCCUACGGGUUGUAAACUUCUUUUGUCAGGGAGCAAUUGGGUCCACGUGUGGGCUUAGCGAGAGUACCUGAAGAAAAAGCAUCGGCUAACUCCGUGCCAGCAGCCGCGGUAAUACGGAGGAUGCGAGCGUUAUCCGGAUUUAUUGGGUUUAAAGGGUGCGUAGGCGGAAUAUCAAGUCAGCGGUAAAAAUUCGGGGCUCAACCCCGUCGUGCCGUUGAAACUGAUGUUCUUGAGUGGGCGAGAAGUAUGCGGAAUGCGUGGUGUAGCGGUGAAAUGCAUAGAUAUCACGCAGAACUCCGAUUGCGAAGGCAGCAUACCGGCGCCCAACUGACGCUGAAGCACGAAAGCGUGGGUAUCGAACAGGAUUAGAUACCCUGGUAGUCCACGCAGUAAACGAU